UAGGGAAUCUUCCACAAUGGACGCAAGUCUGAUGGAGCAACGCCGCGUGAGUGAAGAAGGUUUUCGGAUCGUAAAGCUCUGUUGUUGGUGAAGAAGGAUAGAGGCAGUAACUGGUCUUUAUUUGACGGUAAUCAACCAGAAAGUCACGGCUAACUACGUGCCAGCAGCCGCGGUAAUACGUAGGUGGCAAGCGUUGUCCGGAUUUAUUGGGCGUAAAGCGAGCGCAGGCGGAAUGAUAAGUCUGAUGUGAAAGCCCACGGCUCAACCGUGGAACUGCAUCGGAAACUGUCAUUCUUGAGUGCAGAAGAGGAGAGUGGAACUCCAUGUGUAGCGGUGGGAUGCGUAGAUAUAUGGAAGAACACCAGUGGCGAAGGCGGCUCUCUGGUCUGCAACUGACGCUGAGGCUCGAAAGCAUGGGUAGCGAACAGGAUUAGAUACCCUGGUAGUCCAUGCCGUAAACGAUGAGCGCUAGGUGUUGGGGACUUUCCGGUUCUCAGUGCCGCAGCAAACGCAUUAAGCGCUCCGCCUGGGGAGUACGACCGCAAGGUUGAAAC
rnacentral:rRNA from 1 species